UCUAAGCGCCAUAGUAAACAAAUGGUCCAGUGUUGCUCUGAUGGUUUAAUUGCAGCAGUUCCAGACAAGCCCAUUCACGAAGGAUCUUCAGUUGACGGGAAGGAGGAGUGAGCCCCCCUCCGGGGAAGGGGCGGCUUGUGGUUAGCCCUGGGGGGAAGUCUUUACCAGGUGAGGCUGAUGCUCUGGGGAGCCGGCUGGAUUUCAGCAGCCAAAGCCCUAGCUGGCUGGAUCAGACUCUCUUUGCCUUCGGACAUCAAGAUGGUGGAUAUUUGAACUGGAAGGAUAAAGAAAGGCCUCUCUGAGGAGGUGGCAUUGGAGCUGGACCUGAAGAUGAAGAAGAUGACAGCUUCACAGACAGCCAGGGGAAGCGAGUCCCAGGCAGGGGGAACAGAAGAUUCAAAGGUCCUGAGUCAAUAGAAUCCAUAAUUUUCAGUUGGGCAUAUGGCAGCCUGGAAUGAGGAUUACGGUUCCCAGCUUCCCUUCCACAUCCUCAGUAUGGCCAUGGGGAAUUUGAGAUGUGAUGACUGGAUCUCAAGCAGCCAUCUUGGACCAUGUGGUGAAUUAAAGAUAGCUGCUGAUUCUUUGGCUGUCCUUCCUUCGAGAGGAAGAGGCUGUUUGGGAAUCUGAAUCUGGGCUGGCC